rnacentral:rRNA from 1 species
UACGUAGGUGGCAAGCGUUGUCCGGAUUUACUGGGCGUAAAGAGCGCGCAGGCGGUCGGAUAAGUCGAAUGUGAAAGCCCCCGGCUCAACUGGGGAGGGUCAUUCGAUACUGUUCGACUCGAAGGCAGGAGAGGGAAGUGGAAUUCCCGGUGUAGUGGUGAAAUGCGUAGAUAUCGGGAGGAACACCAGUGGCGAAGGCGACUUCCUGGCCUGUUCUUGACGCUGAGGCGCGAAAGCUAGGGGAGCAGACGGG